CGGCGGACGGGUGAGUAACGCGUGGGUAACCUGCCUCAUACAGGGGGAUAACAGUUAGAAAUGGCUGCUAAUACCGCAUAAGACCACAGUACUGCAUGGUACAGUGGUAAAAACUCCGGUGGUAUGAGAUGGACCCGCGUCUGAUUAGCUAGUUGGUGGGGUAACGGCCCACCAAGGCGACGAUCAGUAGCCGACCUGAGAGGGUGACCGGCCACAUUGGGACUGAGACACGGCCCAG
rnacentral:rRNA from 1 species